UCCCAAACGUGUGCAGUCUUUGCACAUUGAGGGUCACAACAGGCAAGUUUGGUCAAUAUGGCGGUCAUUAUCUCCGCCCAUCAUCAGUUCCAGUCACAAGCAAGGCCUAUAUAAAAGAACACAAUACCUACUUUUGGUGAACUCACAAAUACAGGACUUCAUCACUGAUUUGCAGCAGCUGUUGCGGUAUUUAACAGAAUGAAGACGAUUCUCGUUCUUUUGAUCCUAGGUUUGGUUCUAGGGGAAAUUCUUGGCCAAGAUACUAACGGUGAUAAUGGGGAAUAUGGGAAUGGUGGAAACGGGGGCAAUGGAAACCAUGUGAAUAAUGGGGAAAACGGAGGCAAUGGAGACCAACCGAAGAAUGGGGUAAACGGAGUCAAUAGUUAUGAAGAGCACAAAAACAACGGCGACUGUUGAUAUCAUGGCCACACUAAGGAUGAAGAGUGGUUGCUGUGUACAAUGAAUUUGAAAAUAUAUAAGUGACUAUUGCUGCAUGUAUUUGUAUGUCCAUCAAUUCAUUUUUCAUAGAAUUGUUCUUUACUUAUUUUUUAAUGUAAAUCUAAAAAUGCUUCAUUGGUAUCUCUCAAGAAACUAUGUGAUAUAAGAUGGUCAUCUAAAUAAUGGUACAUGUAAUGAAGAACAGGGACAUACGCAGUGUGUGAAGCUUUAAUGAACUCUAUAAUGGACCGAGAACGCCAUGAACAUUGAUAUUUCCUGGUGAUAUUUGGCUAAAUCAAUCGAGUGCAAUCAUUGAAUAGCAUUUGCAUUAUUUGUCCGUAGAAUUGUGUUUUCCUAUCGUUUAACUGUUCUUGAAAAUAAAGAUGAAUUUCUGAUACG